rnacentral:snRNA from 1 species
AUUGCUUCUCGGUCUUUUGACUAAGAUCAAGUGCA